GAUGAACGCUGGCGGCGUGCCUAAUACAUGCAAGUCGAACGGAGAGCUAGUAAUAGUUCUUAGUGGCGAACGGGUGAGCAACGCGUUGGUGACCUGCCCCGAAACGGGGGAUAACAGUUCGAAAGGACUGCUAAUACCCCAUAAUAUCUUGGUAGUUAGAGAGCUAAGAUGAAAGGAGUAAUCCGUUUUGGGAGGGGCCUGCGUCCCAUCAGCUAGUUGGUAAGGUAAAAGCUUACCAAGGCGACGACGGGUAGGGGACCUGAGAGGGUGAUCCCCCACACUGGCACUGAAACACGGGCCAGACACCUACGGGAGGCAG
rnacentral:rRNA from 1 species